rnacentral:hammerhead_ribozyme from 1 species
GCAUUGCUGAGAAGUCCCAAAAUAGGACGAAACAGCUGUCCAGUGC